rnacentral:rRNA from 1 species
CGGUGUUUAAUUGGCGUGAUGUGGGACGUCCUACCGGUGGGCUUAGCCUCGCGAGGGGCGGCCCAACUAAUAUCCCGUCGCGGUGCUCUUUACUGAGUGUCGAGUCGGGCCGGUACGUUUACUUUGAACAAAUUAGAGUGCUUAAAGCAGGCUAUCCUCGCCUGAAUACUGCGUGCAUGGAAUAAUGGAAUAGGACCUCGGUUCUAUUUUGUUGGUUUUCGGAACCCCGAGGUAAUGAUUAAUAGGGACAGAUGGGGGCAUUCGUAUUGCGACGUUAGAGGUGAAAUUCUUGGAUCGUCGCAAGACGGACAGAAGCGAAAGCAUUUGCCAAAAAUGUUUUCAUUAAUCAAGAACGAAAGUUAGAGGUUCGAAGGCGAUCAGAUACCGCCCUAGUUCUAACCAUAAACGAUGCCAGCUAGCGAUCCGCCGAAGUUCCUCCGAUGACUCGGCGGGCAGCUUCCGGGAAACCAAAGCUUUUGGGUUCCGGGGGAAGUAUGGUUGCAAAGCUGAAACUUAAAGGAAUUGACGGAAGGGCACCACCAGGAGUGGAGCCUGCGGCUUAAUUUGACUCAACACGGGAAACCUCACCAGGCCCAGACACCGGAAGGAUUGACAGAUUGAUAGCUCUUUCUUGAUUCGGUGGGUGGUGGUGCAUGGCCGUUCUUAGUUGGUGGAGCGAUUUGUCUGGUUAAUUCCGAUAACGAACGAGACUCUAGCCUGCUAAAUAGGCGUACCUUAUGGUAUCGCGAAGGCCCCCGGCUUCGGCCGGUGGGUUUUUACUACCAACGUACAAACAAAUCUUCUUAGAGGGACAGGCGG